GCCCGGGUGGCGGAAUAGGCAGACGCGCACGUUUGAGGGGCGUGUGGGGCAACCCGUAUCGGUUCAAAUCCGAUCCCGGGCACCA
rnacentral:tRNA from 1 species